UACGGGGGGAGCAAGCGUUGUUCGGAUUUACUGGGCGUAAAGCGCGCGUAGGCGGUUUUGCAAGCCAGAGGUGAAAUGCCUGAGCUCAACUUAGGAAUUGCCUUUGGGACUGCGAGGCUUUGAGGACUGGAGAGGUGAGUGGAAUUCCCAGUGUAGAGGUGAAAUUCGUAGAUAUUGGGAAGAACACCGGUGGCGAAGGCGGCUCACUGGCCAGUUUCUGACGCUGCAGCGCGAAAGCGUGGGGAGCAAACAGG
rnacentral:rRNA from 1 species